GCGAGUCCAGAGUGGUAAUGCACUCGGCAAACGGCUCAGUAACACGUGGGUAAUCUGCCCUCAGGACAGGGAUAACCCCGGAAAACUGGGGAUAAUAUCUGAUAGGUGGAGAAGUCUGGAACGACUCUCCGCUCAAAUGCUCCGGCGCCUGAGGAUGAGCCUGCGACCGAUUAGGUUGUUGGCGGUGUAACGGACCACCAAGCCUGAGAUCGGUACGGGUGUUGAGAGACAGAGCCCGGAGAUGGGGACUGAGACACGGCCCCAGGCCCUACGGGGCGCAGCAGGCGCGAAAACUCCGCAAUACACGAAAGUGUGACGGGGGAACCCCAAGUGCGCUCACGCAAGUGAGUGCUUUUGUGAAGUGUAAAUAGCUUCGCGAAUAAAAGCGGGGUAAGACCGGUGCCAGCCGCCGCGGUAACACCGGCCGCUUGAGUGGUGAUCACUAUUAUUGGGCCUAAAGCGUCCGUAGCCGGUCUGGUAAGUCCUUGGGCAAAUCCUGUCGCUUAACGAUAGGAAUUCUGAGGAUACUGUCAGACUUGAGGUCGAGAGAGGUCGGAGGUACUUCUGGGGUAGCGGUGAAAUGCUAUAAUCCUGGAGGGACCACCAGUGGCGAAAGCGUCCGACCAGAGCGAGCCUGACGGUAAGGGACGAAAGCCAGGGGAGCGAACGGGAUUAGAUACCCCGGUAGUCCUGGCCGUAAACGCUG
rnacentral:rRNA from 1 species